AUGAACGCUGGCGGCGUGCCUCAUCCCUGCCAGUCGAGCGAACAGACGAGGAGCUUGCUCCUCUGACGUUAGCGGCGGACGGGUGAGUAACACGUGGAUAACCUACCUAUAGACUGGGAUAACUUCGGGAAACCGGAGCUAAUACCGGAUAAUAUAUUGAACCGCAUGGUUCACUAGUGAAAGACGGUUUUGCUGUCACUUAUAGAUGGAUCCGCGCCGCAUUAGCUAGUUGGUAAGGUAACGGCUUACCAAGGCAACGAUGCGUAGCCGACCUGAGAGGGUGAUCGGCCACACUGGAACUGAGACACGGUCCAGACUCCUACGGGAGGCAGCAGUAGGGAAUCUUCCGCAAUGGGCGAAAGCCUGACGGAGCAACGCCGCGUGAGUGAUGAAGGUCUUCGGAUCGUAAAACUCUGUUAUUAGGGAAGAACAAAUGUGUAAGUAACUAUGCACGUCUUGACGGUACCUAAUCAGAAAGCCACGGCUAACUACGUG
rnacentral:rRNA from 1 species